CCACCAUUAACGCAGCUAUAGGAUUCAUUUUCUCAGUUAAACAAAGUGCCCCCCCCCCCUCUCGGCGGCCCUGAGUGUAAGGAAUAAAGAAAACUUAUAGAUUAGACAGAAAUAGAAAAAGGUCUAGGGUAGCCAGGGAAUUUCGCAUUUUCACCACAUCCUGUGCCAACUUGGUACCUUUGCGGUUCAGAGGCUCUGGUACAGGAAGCAACCCAAUAAAACAAUUUUCGUUUCAAAUUUGCAUUAAUAAAUUUGCUCUUUAAUAUUCAGUUCUAUCCGCAAGCAAGAUGACCAAAAUCUUGAAUAAUCAGCCUAAUACGACGCAUGCACAAACGUUUUCAUAGCAGUGUUUUGGCAGGUUUGAAAUAUUUUUAUAAGUGCAUGGCCAUUGGCCAGUCGCAUGCGAGGUUCAGAUUCUGAACCUAAUCAAAUUUGGAAGUGAGAAUCGCAAUCGAUUUGACCAGUACCCUGAGAGCAGAUGCUCUUUCGUCUAGCUUUGUUUCGCCUGGAACCAGAAUACACAUAUGCUUGCUGUGGCAUUGCAAUGUUGGUUGUGCGUACCACAAAGUCAAAAGAUCAAACUUGCAAUGUUGUAUGCGUCACAAAAGUCAUGAUAUGAUUUAAAUGAUAGUCACACGAUUCAUCGGAAACACACGAUCACAAAGUGUUUCAGGACUUUACUUUAUAUAAAUUAAGCCAAAUAGGAACAUUAAUUCAACAGUACCUGACGCUUUAUGAAUCCGGGGUUGCGAAAUAUUAAAACCAGAGAAACAAGCCAUAUUUAUAGGCACUUUCAAUCUACAGUCCGACAUUCUCCGUAUUUUACCAAAUAGCUCGAGCCAUAGCCGAACUUUUAAGACUGAUUCAGCGAACUUUACGACAGCAAACUUUUAAAAUUCACACCAUUUUAACGACCUUUUAAUUACAUUGCUCUUCUUUCUUUAUUAAGUCUCAGAUCACUUGCCAAAAGUAUCACAGGAAUUGUGACUCAAUGAUUCAUGCAUACAAACCUUUAUAUUGAAU